CCCACUUACCCGUUCCCACACGCCUUUCUGUGCGCCUUCCUUUUCGUGCUUUUCCCACACUGCAUAAAGUGUGAACGCCCCUCCAUAUCCCAAGAGCAAAAUUUCUUUAUUUAUUUUUUUUUCACAGCAUUAUUACAGCAUAUGAUGAUAUGAAGGAGAAUAUGUUGCAAAGCAUGCUAGCCUAGCUUUCCUUUCCACUCUAAAAGCACAUAAAACAGGAAAAUUUCAUACUGUCACACUAAGAGAUGGCCACUCUUCUCCACCUACUCUUCUUCCAAUUGCUUCUCUCCUCAGCAUCAAAAGCUCAGAUGCCUGGUUUUGUAAGUUUGGAUUGUGGAGGUAAAGAGGAGUAUACAGAUGAUAUUGGACUUCUAUGGAUUCCUGAUGAUCAAUUUAUUCAUGGUGGUCAAACUGCCAACAUAUCUAUCCCAGGUGAGAACCCCAAGCAAUACAUGAAAGUCAGAUAUUUCCCUGCGGAUAGCAGAAAGUAUUGCUACACAUUAAGUGUGAAGACUAGAACCCGCUACCUUGUAAGAGCAAGUUUCUUAUAUGGCAACUUUGACAAAAGUAAUUUUUAUCCGAUGUUUGACCUCUCUAUUGGGGCAACUCAUUGGUCAACUAUUGUAAUUUCUGAUGCAAAUGUAAUGGAAGUUCGAGAGUUGAUUUUGCUGGCUUCUUCUCCAACGAUAAGUGUGUGUCUGUCAAAUGCUACCACUGGGCAGCCGUUCAUUUCUACCCUUGAGCUUCGUCAGUUUAAUGGUUCACUUUAUUAUACAACCUAUGAAACUCAAUUCUUUCUCAGCCUAUCUGCAAGAAUAAACUUUGGUGCUGAGAGCAAUGAUUCAGUAAGGUAUCCAGAUGAUCCAUUUGAUAGAAUAUGGGAAUCUGAUUCUGCAAGAAGGGCAAAUUACCUUGUUGAUGUUGCUCCGGGAACUGAAGCAAUAUCUACGGAAAAGCCAAUAGAUGUUAGCACUGGUGAAAGACCACCAGAAAAGGUGAUGCAGACAGCUGUGGUGGGUCAAAAUGGUUCCUUGACAUACCGAUUAGACUUGGAUGGUUUUCCAGCAAAUGGUUGGGCAUUCUCAUACUUCGCAGAAAUUGAAGAUUUUGGUCCAGAUGAAACCAGGAAAUUUAAGCUAGUAAUUCCAGGCUUGCCAGUAUUUAGUAAACCCACUGUUGACGUUCAAGAAAAUGCUCAAGGGAAGUACCGGCUCUAUGAACCAGGAUAUAACAAUGUGUCCCUACCAUUUGUCUUCUCUUUUGGGUUUAGAAAAACAAAUGAUUCAUCCAGGGGACCUAUCUUGAAUGCUUUGGAGAUUUAUAAAUACCUGCAGAUAAAUUUUGGUUCUCAAGAUGCAACUGCCAUGGGCAGUUUUGUUUCGCACUAUCAAGAGGCAGAUUGGGCUCGAGAAGGUGGUGAUCCAUGUGUGCCAGCUUCAUGGUCUUGGGUGCAGUGUAAUUCAGAUCAACAACCAAGAGUAGUUUCAAUCAAUUUAUCUAGGAAGAAUUUGACAGGGAAUUUUCCUUUGGAACUGACAAAGUUACCAGGCUUGGUUGAAUUGCGACUUGAUGGGAACGAACUUACUGGUCCAAUACCUGAUUUUGGUGGAUGCCCAAAUCUGGAGUAUAUUCAUCUUGAGAACAAUGAACUCAGUGGUGCGUUACCUUCAUCCUUGGCAGACCUACCAAGUCUACGAGAACUGUACGUUCAGAAUAAUAUGUUGUCAGGAUUGGUGCCACAAGGGCUUCUCAGUAAAAAAAUCAUUUUCAAUUAUUCAGGAAAUCUGCAUCUUCGCAAGGGAAAGAAAGACACCAGUCGUGUAAUAAUUAUCAUCUGUUCUGUAACUGGAGUUUCUAUGCUGCUGGUCAUUGGUAUAGCAUACUACUUGUUCACUCAGAGAAAAGGGAAAAAUAUCCCAAAAGACAAAGUUACCAGUGUCCCACCAGCUAAAAAGUUGAGUACUUUCUUCAGUGAAGUGGCGACAGAAUCAGCACAUAAGUAUUCAUUAUCUGAAAUUGAAGAUGCGACUGGGAAGUUUGAAAAGAGAAUAGGCUCUGGAGGUUUUGGGAUCGUAUAUUAUGGAAAGAUGGCAGAUGGAAAAGAAAUCGCAGUGAAAGUUCUCACGAACGAUUCCUUCCAGGGAAUCAGAGAGUUCCUAAACGAGGUGACACUGCUUUCUAGAAUUCAUCAUAGGAAUCUUGUCACGUUUCUGGGUUACAGCCAACAAGAUGGGAAAAACAUCCUCGUCUAUGAAUUUAUGCAUAAUGGAACCUUAAAGGAGCACCUUCGUGGACCUUCAGCUCGGGAAAGAACUCUUAACUGGAUCAAGCGCCUUGAGAUUGCGGAGGAUGCUGCAAAAGGGAUUGAGUACCUUCACACGGGCUGCUUUCCCACCAUCAUUCAUAGGGAUCUUAAGAGUAGCAACAUUCUUCUUGACAAGCACAUGAGAGCAAAGGUCUCAGAUUUUGGUCUCUCAAAACCUGCAGUGGAUUGUUCCCAUGUCUCAAGCAUUGUUCGGGGAACUGUUGGAUAUCUGGACCCUGAGUACUACAUCUCUCAGCAAUUAACAGAAAAGAGCGAUAUCUACAGUUUUGGUGUUAUUCUCCUGGAGCUGAUAUCAGGUCAAGAACCAAUAUCCAAUGAAAAUUUUGGCCUCAACUGCCGUAACAUUGUGGCCUGGCUUCUUCAGGCUCUAGCAGACUUUAUAGCAGGUUUUCUUUUUCUUGAAAUAUCUGAACCCUUGAGCAACCAUAUGGCAGGCAAAGUCAUAUAUUGAGAAUGGGAACAUCGAGGCUGUCAUGGACCCCAUGCUGCCGGAUGAUUAUAACAUGCAAUCAUUGUGGAAGAUUGCUGAGACUGCUGUUAUGUGUGUCAAACCACAAGGGAUUCAAAGACCAACUAUAUCAGAAGUGCUCAAGGAAAUACAAGAAGCUAUUGCAAUCGAGCGAGUCUCAGGGCUUCAUGGAGAAUGCCCUGCUAAGGUAAUAUCAAAGAAGACCAUGGGCUCUUCUGUGAAUUCGGACAUGAUUUGCUCAGCUACUCCUGAACAAAAUGUGUCUGUUCCUGAGCUGUUUGUGCAGCCAGGACUCCGAUAGCUACUAAUGCAGUGUGCAUAUUGCUGAUCAACAGAAGUAAAGUUUCUGCUGUGAAAGAACGUCUACAUGAUUCUCAUUCAAGUUCUUGUCAGGCCAACCUUAGUUCUCCUGAGCAUUUGAGUGAUGACUGAACCUUGAAACUGGCUUCCCUUGUUGUCCCAUGUAAUUAGUUGUGGUGUUGUGGUUCAAGAAUUUGUCCUAACUGCAUCUUGAGAGAGGUACCCCUUUUUGUCAAGUAGCUUCUAUCCUUUUUCGCACGUAAAUUCCCUGUAUUUUGUACCCACCGUGAUUACAGAAGCCACUCGGCUGAUGAGUGUGGUGCUUCUUUUUAUCGUAUCAGCUCUGUACAAAAUAGUGAUUUGAAACAUGGUUAACAAUUUCUGCA